UCCCUUUUGCGAGACUGCCGGUAAUAAACCGGAGGAAGGUGGGGAUGACGUCAAAUCAUCAUGCCCCUUAUGACCUGGGCUACACACGUGCUACAAUGGCUGGUACAACGAGUCGCGAGUCGGUGACGGCAAGCUAAUCUCUUAAAGCCAGUCUCAGUUCGGAUUGUAGGCUGCAACUCGCCUACAUGAAGUCGGAAUCGCUAGUAAUCGCGGAUCAGCACGCCGCGGUGAAUACGUUCCCGGGCCUUGUACACACCGCCCGUCACACCACGAGAGUUUGUAACACCCGAAGUCGGUGAGGUAACCUUUUAGGAGCCAGCCGCCUAAGGUGGGAUAAAUGAUUGGGGUGAAUUCUUAACAGGGUAACCUAAA
rnacentral:rRNA from 1 species